GGGCUCGUAGAUCAGCUGGUAGAUCGCCGUCUUCGCAAGACGGAGGCCGCGGGUUCGACUCCCGCCGAGUCCA
rnacentral:tRNA from 1 species